rnacentral:rRNA from 1 species
AUUGAACGCUGGCGGCAGGCCUAACACAUGCAAGUCGGACGAGCGGCGGACGGGUGAGUAAUGUAUGGGGAUCUGCCUGAUGGCGGGGGAUAACUACGGGAAACGGUAGCUAAUACCGCAUACCAUCAGAUGAACCCAUGUGGGAUUAGCUGGUGGGUAAGGUAAAGGCUUACCUAGCCGACGAUCCCUAGCUGGUCUGAGAGGAUGAUCAGCCACACUGGGACUGAGACACGGCCCAGACUCCUACGGGAGGCAGCAGUGGGGAAUAUUGCACAAUGGGCGCAACCCUGACGCAGCCAUGCCGCGUGAAUGAAGAAGGCCUUCGGGUUGUAAAGUACUUUCAGUCGGGAGGCGUUACCGACAGAAGAAGCACCGGCUAACUCCGUGCCAGCAGCCGCGGUAAUUC